ACCAGAUGUGAAGGUUUAUCUAUGUAAUCCCACUUACUAAGGAGCUAGUGGAGACCCUGAGCUUGGAAAUUCUGACCUGCAGUGGUUUAAGCUGAUCAAGUGUCUGCAUAAGUACAGUAUCAAUACGGUGAGUCCCUAGGAUGGGAGAAUCACCAGGUUGCCUAAGGAGGGGUAAACCUGCCCAGGUCAGAUAUGGAACAUGUCAAAGCUUCUGUGUCAGUUGGUAGUAAGAUCAGGCCUGUAAGCAGCCUCUGUACUUCCAGUCUGGGCAAGAGAGAAAAAACUAGUCUU
ensembl:misc_RNA Metazoa_SRP Metazoan signal recognition particle RNA